AUACGGAGGAUCCGAGCGUUAUCCGGAUUUAUUGGGUUUAAAGGGUGCGCAGGCGGCCAUUUAAGUCAGCGGUUAAAUCGUGGGGCUCAACCCCAUUCUGCCGUUGAUACUGGUUUCCUUGAGUACGGUAUAGGUGGGCGGAAUUCGUGGUGUAGCGGUGAAAUGCUUAGAUAUCACGAAGAACUCCGAUCGCGAAGGCAGCUCACCGGGCCGGAACUGACACUGAUGCUCGAAAGUGCGGGUAUCAAACAGGAUUAGAUACCCUGGUAGUCCGCACAGUAAACGAUGAAUACUCGCUGUUUGCGAUACACUGUAAGCGGCCAAGCGAAAGCGUUAAGUAUUCCACCUGGGGAGUACGCCGGCAACGGUGAAACUCAAAUGAAUUGGCGGGG
rnacentral:rRNA from 1 species